UACGUAGGGGGCAAGCGUUGUCCGGAUUUAUUGGGCGUAAAGAGCGUGUAGGCGGCCAGACAGGUCCGUUGUGAAAACUAGAGGCUUAACCUCUAGACGUCGACCGAAACCAUCUGGCUAGAGUCCGGGAGAGGAGAGUGGAAUUCCUGGUGUAGCGGUGAAAUGCGCAGAUAUCAGGAAGAACACCCGUGGCGAAAGCGGCUCUCUGGAACGGUACUGACGCUGAGACGCGAAAGCGUGGGGAGCGAACAGG
rnacentral:rRNA from 1 species